rnacentral:misc_RNA from 1 species
UUGUCAAUAUAAUAAGACCCCAAUAAUUUAAUUAUCUAAAACUGAUAAUCAGAAUUAUCAGACAAGAGAUGCACCAAGUGAAAUUUAAUUGGUGCUAGAAGAAUUACAAUGUUAGCAAAAUGCUAAGAAGAUGAUUACAGAAAGAGACAUUUCUUCCUGUUGAUUCAAAAUAUUGAAAUUUUCAUGUACACAACUAAGCAACAAGGAACACCAGCUGAAAACUUACAAGACAAAAGUAUCUCUCUGCCGCUAUGCUCAACCAAGUCCAACACUUUACCAGCAGCCAUUGCCAUGGCUUUAAAUUUUAAAGUUGUUUUAACUAUUGCUUGUCUCUGGCUGCUAAAUUCGCGUUUAUUGACAUUUCGAUCUCCUCAAGAGUGCGUCCCUUAGUCUCGAUUAUGAAAUAAUUAGCAAAUACAGCAGCUAACAAGGAAACACUGCCAAAGCCAGCAUAGACAGGAGCAACCCCAAAAAUCUCCACCAUAUCCAGGAAGAACAGCCCCACCAAGAAAUUGCAUACCCAAUGAACAGAAAAACUGAAUCCCAUAAUCUUUCCACGCAUCUUGGCACUGCUAAGUUCUGGUAUGAUAAUACCAGUUACUGGACCAGCUCCAAUUGCAAAGGCUAAAAUGUACAUGAGAAUUCCAAUUAUUGACAAGUUGUGACUGAGAUCUUCAUCUAUAGGAAAAUUGAUUGCACAUGCGACAAGAAACAUUGACACGGCCAUUCCCAAGUAACUAGCAAUUAAGAGCUUUUGUCUCCCUUCCUUCUCCAUUAAAUAUGAAGCACUAAGUGAACCUGCAAAGUUCGCGAGCCCACCAAAUAAGCUUGCUAAAGCACCACUUGUGAUGCCAACAUCUUUAAAAGUCAAUGAUGAAAAAUAAAGAACUCCAUUUAUGCCAGCAAAUUGUUGCAGUAUAAAAAGGGAACCUCCAAUAAAUGCAACUCUAGAGUGUGGCUCCUCCAGGAGUUCCGACCACCUACUGCUCACAUCAGCACCAUCAUUCUUAAUGACUAAUUGGAAUUCUUCAAUUGAUCUUUCAACUUCUGAUGGUCCCCAUAGACUAAGGAUAACUGCUUUAGCAUCAUCUAAUCUGCCUACUUUGCACAGCCAUCGGGGACUGUCCACAGCAAACUGCAUACCGAUUGAAAGAAUAAAUGCAGGAACACUUGCAAUAUAGAGUAUUGUCCUCCACCAAUGUGGAUCAAUUUCAGAGGGAAUUCCAAGGGACAGUGAUGUAAUAAUCCCAAGGCAUGUGCCAAUUUGACACAAGCUUCCUAGUGAACCCCUGUAUUUUGUUGGGGCAACCUCUGAGAUAUAAAUUGGAACCAGAACUGUGUUCACACCAAUCCCAAGGCCAACAAGAAAUCUCCCCCACAGUAUUUCAUCCAAGGAAUGGGCUUGUGCACUGUUACAAAUUACUCUGUUAUAUCUAAACAUGGGAACGUAAAGUUAUACAUUGGAUGGUAUUAUAAGAAACAGUCCUUGCCUGAUACAAAACCUCUGAACCAUACUCGGAAAAUCCAUAAACUAAAUGUAGAUUAUGAACCUCACAGAUGGGCAGUUUCUGGCAUGCAUAGUUCCAUUCCAACAAAUUUAUAGUCAAUUUAUCUCAGACAUGAAUUACCUUACAAGUGCACCAAGAAUUAAUGGAAUUGAGUCAAACUGAAAGGUGCGGCGACAUCCAAGUUUGUCCACAAGAAAACCAGAGUUUAUGCUUCCAAUAAAUGCCCCAGCUAUAAAUAUGCUGACCACAAGUCCCUCAAGAAUUGGGUCUCCUUCAAAACCAAGCUCUCGUGCAACAGAAACAAUAGGGCCAUUCAUCACUCCUAUGUGAUAACCAAAGAGGAAAUUCGACAUAGAAGCAAUCAAAGCGUGAGGAAAGGCAGGCAACCAUCCGAAAUCAGCACUUUCACCUUCCUUUUCUUCUACAAACGAUUUUUCAACACCAUCUGCAAUGAAAUUUUGAACAAGCAAUUUAUUUUCUCUUUAAAGGACGAAAUGAAUUAAUCUACGUAUUAUAGACCUGGCUUGGGAUUCUGUAGCUCCGGCAGUGGCUUCUUCGAUGCCGAAACUUUGAACCUUAAGCGCCGAUUUCGGAAUCCGAAACGAAAAUGUUCCUGUAUCGGGUUUGGAGAAGAUGUAAGUGGAGCCGAAACCGGAAGAACCGGCUGGGAAAACACGGUAGCCACCCGCAUCAGAUGAGAGGAAAGUAGGAGUGGGGACUGUGGAGUGUUCGUUAAUGAAAGACGAGAAGCGAAAUCAUGUGAUCCUUUUCAAUUUUCGCACGUGGCUUGGAACUGAAGCAGGAAAAG